UGCACCAAUGGUGAGAAUAUAUCAUGAACCAAGGAUUUGGAUGAAUCCUGUUCUGUGUACCUGAGGUUU
rnacentral:snoRNA from 1 species